rnacentral:rRNA from 1 species
CUGGCUCAGAACGAACGCUGGUGGCGUGUCUAUACAUGCAAGUCGAGCGAGGCAGCAAUGCCGAGCGGCGAACGGGUGAGUAACGCGUAAGCAAUCUGCCCCAUAUCAGGAAAUACCCGUGCCAACGCGCGGUUAAUGUCCAGGAGAGUGGCCCUCUGCAUGGAGGGUUGACUAGAGAUUUAUCGGUAUGGGAUGAGCUUGCGUCCGAUUAGCUAGUUGGCGGGGCAACGGCCCACCAAGGCGACGAUCGGUAGCCGGCCUGAGAGGGUGAUCGGCCACAUUGGGACUGAGAUACGGCCCAGACUCCUACGGGAGGCAGCAGUAGGGAAUAUUGCACAAUGGGGGAAACCCUGAUGCAGCAACGCCACGUGUGGGAAGAAGCAUUUCGGUGUGUAAACCACUGUCAUGAGGGAAUAAGGCCCAGUUUAGGCUGGGAUUGAAUGUACCUUGAGAGGAAGCACCGGCAAACUUCGUGCCAGCCGCGGC